GAGUUUGAGUUGGUCCUCCGGCGGGCGCCAUGGGAUCCGGGGCUGCGACGCGCCCGGGGCAGAGAAUCCCGCCGAGGCAACAGAUUGGUAACGUUCACAUUGGGUUGGAAGUAAAAGUCGUAACAAGGUCUCCGUUGGUGAACCAGCGGAGGGAUCAUUACCGAGUUUACAACUCCCAAACCCAAUGUGAACGUUACCAAUCUGUUGCCUCGGCGGGAUUCUCUGCCCCGGGCGCGUCGCAGCCCCGGAUCCCAUGGCGCCCGCCGGAGGACCAACUCAAACUCUUUUUUCUCUCCGUCGCGGCCUACGUCGCGGCUCUGUUUUAUUUUUGCUCUGAGCCUUUCUCGGCGACCCUAGCGGGCGUCUCGAAAAUGAAUCAAAACUUUCAACAACGGAUCUCUUGGUUCUGGCAUCGAUGAAGAACGCAGCGAAAUGCGAUAAGUAAUGUGAAUUGCAGAAUUCAGUGAAUCAUCGAAUCUUUGAACGCACAUUGCGCCCGCCAGUAUUCUGGCGGGCAUGCCUGUCCGAGCGUCAUUUCAACCCUCGAACCCCUCCGGGGGGUCGGCGUUGGGGAUCGGCCCCUCACCGGGCCGCCCCCGAAAUACAGUGGCGGUCUCGCCGCAGCCUCUCCUGCGCAGUAGUUUGCACACUCGCACCGGGAGCGCGGCGCGGCCACAGCCGUAAAACACCCCAAACUCUGAAAUGUUGACCUCGGAUCAGGUAGGAAUACCCGCUGAACUUAAGCAUAUCAAUAAGCGGAGGAA
rnacentral:rRNA from 1 species